rnacentral:rRNA from 1 species
GGGUCAGUAGGUUGGUCGUGCCACCGGUACGUACUGGUCUCACUGAUUCCUCCUUCCUGAAGAACCGUAAUACCAUUAAUUUGGUGUUGCGGGGAAACAGGACUGUUACUUUGAAAAAAUUAGAGUGUUUAAAGCAAGCUAACGCUUGAAUACAUUAGCAUGGAAUAAUGAAAUAGGACGAUCGAUCCUAUUUUGUUGGUUCCUAGGAUUGACGUA